UUUCAUCUUUCGUUUUCUCUGCAUCUCAAUUUUCAGUUUCUCUCUACCGCUCAUCCUUUCCCCCAUUCAUGAACGUCCAUCUCCACCAUCAGCUUUUCAUUUUGGCCACAAUUUCUUUGAUUCGGUCAAACCCCUUGCCAUGAAGCCCUCUUGUUGACCGUCAUCUCCACCGAGGCUCUUGGAAACGGCCGCGUCCACGUUCUUCUUCAAUUUGGUUGACUCCUUGCCGCGCGUCCAUUUCCUCUUGCCUGCAAGCCCACAAUCCACCGAGAAGCAAGCCUACCGAAUCAACCGCUCCAUUUCAUCUUCGACCGACCGAGCUGCCACGUCCGCCUUCGCCAAGUCAAUCAUCCAUCUUCAACGCUCGAGAAUUUCAGCCGACCGAAGCCAGCUCAACCACCUUCGCGGCUUCUGUCUCCAGCUGGCCGCGUGACGUCAAACGAAGCUGCUUCCUCUCUGUCGCUGCCUUCAACGCUCGUGGAUUUCGGUCUGCUCGAAGACCAGCUGCUUCCUCGUCUGCUCCGUCUUCGACCGCACGCCUGCAGCAGCCCCGUGUUCGCUGCUCACUCGUCCAGCAUCAAUUCGAGCGAAGCCAGCCCCAUCUUCUUCGUUCGGCCCAAUUUGAAGCCGAAGUCAGCCUUCUUUUCCAGUCCACGAAGCCACCUCUGUUUCUUGCCUUGCGUCCACGAGUAGCAGCUUCUUCGCCGCGUCUUCUUCAGCUCGUGGAUCUGCCGCAACAAGCCAGCCCAGCAUCCAGCCCAUCAUCAAUUGGAUUUGAAACCCAGCAAAUUUCGGCCCAGUUGAAGUCUUCAAGUCCAGCAAGUGUCUUCAGCCCAUUGAAUUUCAAGCCCAGCAAAAUUUGUUGGUCCAGCAGCUCAUUUCAGUCCAAAUUCGGCCCAAAGAUUUAAUAACUCGGCCCAGCUUUUUGAAGCCCAGUUCAGUUUAGUUUCAAGCCCCGCAUCAUUUGUAUUUCAGCAAGGCCCAACAAGUUUAGCCCAUCUUGGGCCCAUGAAGCAAGUCGGCCCAAGUUCGGCCACCGUCGCGUCGUCGUAGCGGUGUUCCGGUCUUCGCUUUGCUCAAGACCCUGAUGAGGAGCCUGAGGAGGAGGAAUCUGAAGAGGAGAACCCUAAUGUGGAACUAGAUGAGAAGAAAGAUUUUAGAGAAGAAGAUGACCAUGAGGAGGAUCCUGAGUACGAUCCGGAUAAGGACUGAAUCCCAUCCCAUUUUGUCAGACCUUGAUUAUAUGUGGAUAAGUGUUAGAUUAGACCCCUGUGAAUAGUAUUGCAUUAUAUAUUAUGAGGUGCUUGUAUAAAAGAAUAGUUGUGAAUUUCAGUAUGAAAAAUAUGACCCUACUUUUAUAUCC